GACGAAGGUGGCAAGCGUUGCUCGGAAUCACCGGGCAUAAAGCGCGCGUAGGUGGCUUGAUAAGUCGGUGGUGAAAUCCCAUGGCUCAACCAUGGAACUGCCGUCGAUACUGUCAGGCUUGAGGGCGGUAGGGGAGAGUGGAACUCCUGGUGUAGCGGUGAAAUGCGUAGAUAUCAGGAGGAACGCCGGUGGCGAAAGCGACUCUCUGGGCCGUUCCUGACACUAAAGUGCGAAAGCUAGGGGAGCAAACAGG
rnacentral:rRNA from 1 species